rnacentral:rRNA from 1 species
GAUGAACGCUGGCGGCGUGCCUAAUACAUGCAAGUAGAACGCUGAAGCUUGGUGCUUGCACCGAGCGGAAGAGUUGCGAACGGGUGAGUAACGCGUAGGUAACCUGCCUCUUAGCGGGGGAUAACUAUUGGAAACGAUAGCUAAUACCGCAUAAAAGUCGGCAUUGCAUGAUGUUGACUUGAAAGGUGCAAAUGCAUCACUAAGAGAUGGACCUGCGUUGUAUUAGCUAGUUGGUGAGGUAACGGCACACCAAGGCGACGAUACAUAGCCGACCUGAGAGGGUGAUCGGCCACACUGGGACUGAGACACGGCCCAGACUCCUACGGGAGGCAGCAGUAGGGAAUCUUCGGCAAUGGGGGCAACCCUGACCGAGCAACGCCGCGUGAGUGAAGAAGGUUUUCGGAUCGUAAAGCUCUGUUGUAAGAGAAGAACGAGUGUGAGAGUGGAAAGUUCACACUGUGACGGUAACUUACCAGAAAGGACGGCU